GAUGAACGCUGGCGGCGUGCUUAACACAUGCAAGUCGAGCGAAUGAAAUUCCUUCGGGAACGGAUUUAGCGGCGGACGGGUGAGUAACACGUGGGCAACCUGCCUCAUAGAGGGGAAUAGCCUUCCGAAAGGGAGAUUAAUACCGCAUAAGAUUGUAGUACCGCAUGGUACAGCAAUUAAAGGAGCAAUCCGCUAUGAGAUGGGCCUGCGGCGCAUUAGCUAGUUGGUGAGGUAACGGCUCACCAAGGCGACGAUGCGUAGCCGACCUGAGAGGGUGAUCGGCCACAUUGGGACUGAGACAGGUCCAGACUCCUACGGGAGGCAGCAGU
rnacentral:rRNA from 1 species